UGAGGAAUAUUGGUCAAUGGGCGGAGAGCCCUGAACCAGCCAAGUCGCGUGAAGGAAGACUGCCUUAUGGGUUGUAAACUUCUUUUAUACAGGAAUAAAAAGGCUUACGUGUAGGCCAUUGCAAGUACUGUAUGAAUAAGCAUCGGCUAACUCCGUGCCAGCAGCCGCGGUAAUACGGAGGAUGCGAGCGUUAUCCGGAUUUAUUGGGUUUAAAGGGUGCGCAGGCGGGCUUUUAAGUCAGCGGUGAAAUCUGGACGCUUAACGUCCAAACUGCCGUUGAAACUGGGAGUCUUGAGUAUGGAUGAAGUAGGCGGAAUUCGUUGUGUAGCGGUGACAUGCAUAGAUAUAACGAGGAACUCCGAUUGCGUAGGCAGCUUACUAAGCCAUAACUGACGCUCAUGCACGAAAGCGUGGGGAUCAAACAGGAUUAGAUACCCUGGUAGUCCACGCCGUAAACGAUGAUUACUAGUUGUAUGCGAUAUGAUAGUAUGUGACUAAGCGAAAGCGAUAAGUAAUCCACCUGGGGAGUACGCCGGCAACGGUG
rnacentral:rRNA from 1 species